rnacentral:tRNA from 1 species
AGUCUUAUAUUCAUGAAAUGAUUAUAGAAUGCAAUUCUAUAGGAGUAGUAUAAAUCUACUAAGACUU